CCUGGUGCGCGGCGAUUGGCGGCGGGGGCGCUGAGUGGCAGCCGCACCGUCCAGCGGGCGCUGUGCGUGGGCCGCGGGGCGGGGCCAGGGCGGGUGCGCGGCGGCGGCGGGGUGGCUGGGCCGGCGGCGGCGGCGGUACGAGGCGCGCGCUCGGGGUCCCGGUCGCGAGGAGGAGGAGGAUGUGGCGCGCGGAGGGGAAAUGGCUGCCGAAAACAAGCCGGAAGCAAAUGUGAAUUACUUCAAUUAAAAAAAGUGAAAGAAACUUGGAUUUGCAGAUGAGGAUUGGAUUUUGUGACUGAUUUACUUUCCCACCUGCUGAAGCAAAUACCAUGUGAUGGGUUGGCCUAGACAACUGGAAUUUACUGGCUCACAGUUUUGAGGCUAGAAGAAGUCCAGAUUGGGGCAUCAGCAAGCAAUGCUUUCUCCCUGAAGACUGGUGUUCUGGGGCUGCCUGCCAGCGGGCCAGGUACUUGGCUUGUCAGUCACGUGGCAAUGCACGUGGCU
rnacentral:lncRNA from 1 species